AUAAAACGAGUGAAAAACUCGUUCGCCGGAAGACCAAGGGUUCCUGUCCAACGUUAAUCGGGGCAGGGUGAGUCGGCCCCUAAGGCGAGGCUGAAAAGCGUAGUCGAUGGGAAACGGGUUAAUAUUCCCGUACUUGGUAUAACUGCGAUGUGGGGACGGAGAAGGUUAGGUUAUCGCACUGUUGGAUGUGCGUUUAAGCCGGUAGGUGGGUGUUUUAGGCAAAUCCGGAACACCAUUCAACACCGAGAAGUGAUGACGAGGUUCUACGGAACUGAAGUAACCGAUACCACGCUUC
rnacentral:rRNA from 1 species